rnacentral:rRNA from 1 species
UACGAAGGGUGCAAGCGUUAGUCGGAAUUACUGGGCGUAAAGCGUGCGUAGGUGGUUUGUUAAGUCUGCUGUGAAAGCCCUGGGCUUAACCUGGGAAUGGCGGUGGAUACUGGCAAGCUAGAGUGCGGUAGAGGAUGGCGGAAUUCCCGGUGUAGCGGUGAAAUGCGUAGAGAUCGGGAGGAACAUCAAUGGCGAAGGCAGCCAUCUGGGCCAGCACUGACGCUGAGGCACGAAAGCGUGGGGAGCAAACAGG